GACGAACGCUGGCGGCGUGCUUAACACAUGCAAGUCGAACGGAAAGGCCCUGCUUUUGUGGGGUGCUCGAGUGGCGAACGGGUGAGUAACACGUGAGUAACCUGCCCUUGACUUUGGGAUAACUUCAGGAAACUGGGGCUAAUACCGGAUAGGAGCUCCUGCUGCAUGGUGGGGGUUGGAAAGUUUCGGCGGUUGGGGAUGGACUCGCGGCUUAUCAGCUUGUUGGUGGGGUAGUGGCUUACCAAGGCUUUGACGGGUAGCCGGCCUGAGAGGGUGACCGGCCACAUUGGGCCUGAGAUACGGCCCAGACUCCUACGGGAGGCAGCAGUGGGGAAUAUUGCGCAAUGGGCGGACGCCUGAUGCAGCAACGCCGCGUGCGGGAUGACGGCCUUCGGGUUGUAAACCGCUUUCGCCUGUGACGAAGCGUGAGUGACGGUAAUGGGUAAAGAAGCACCGGCUAACUACGUG
rnacentral:rRNA from 1 species